GGUGUGCGGGAGAAGUGAGUUAGUGCGUCACACUUUGCAGGAGUUUGUAUAUGGGCGAUGAGUAGAGCGGACACAAGGGGGGCUAAGGGGGUUGAAUUGUAAAGAAAAAGGGGCGGGAAGUGUUUUUGUGGGAGGGAUGGGGGGAGAAAAAAUAGUUUGUCAUUUUAUUUUUUUUAUUUUUUAGAGGGGGCUGAUAUUAGCAAUAAUAAUAAGAUAAUCAAUGCAAGAGGUGUUUGUAAUAUUUCCCCCCCCCGAAUUACAAUCUCCUUUUUUGCAGUUGACUUGUUAAAUGUUGCUUUUUUGGGGGGAUAAUGUUAGUAUCAUUAUAGUAUUAGUUGCCGUUUUGGUUCACAUUCAGGUGUCUUUAAAAGGAAAUAUUCCAAUGUGAAGCUGAUAGUGUUAUUGUGUAAGGCCGCCAUCUAGUGGCCAAAGGGAGGAAGCGUCACUGCCGGGGAACGGACUGACUGCGCGCCACAAUGCGUUGGAAUUGGCGUGUUAUAUAUCAUCCAUCCGCCAGGGGGCGGCACGUUUGAAAUGGAAACUCAGCCGAAAUAUAAUAAGUGAAAAGAAAAGAAGCGGGAAGUUUGACAACAAAGAUGGCGGAUGUGCAGAAUGAAAACGCUGAACUAUUUGUUCUAUUUUUUAAACAAAUUGAAUAGUUACGUUCUUUCCACAAUAUUAAUUUGUUUUGAGCAUAUUUGGGGAAUUCACGGUAAUAAAAGAGCGGGCACUGGUCCGCCACAGCACACAGAGCCUCCUCCAGCGCCUCCUGCGUGUGCAGGUCCGGCAGCGCGCUACACGACUCCAGCAUGCCCAGCGUGUUUCUCAGCCAACCUUCCUCUCGGACUAGCGCCUUGACCCAAGGCUGAGCGCGCACGCAGCCCCCCAGGGCCUGAAUGCCCAACCUCCAGAGCUCCGCGACCUCGUCCCAGCUGUUCUCCCAGGCGGGGCUCACCUUGGCCGGUCCUGGGCUGGGCUUUGAGUCCAGAGCGCUGUGGAGGAAGCGCAGGGCAGUGGAGAAGAAGCGGCUUUGACCGGCUUCAGCUGAACAAGGAGAGAAAAGGUGGUACAUUACAGCCGAGAAGGCCUCCUCCAACACGCCAAGGACCUGCCUGCUCUGCUGGAGACUGAGGCUGGCGACACUGCCCUGAGCCGGCGCGGUCGUGACCGCCGAGCUGCAAGCCUGCUCUAUGGCGGCCUCCAUGAUCCGGUAACAACCUGCAGAAUGACAGAAUGUGUUGAAGAAUGUGCACAAUAGCUGUUUUUAUUUAUUUCUACAGUCAGGUGCGCUCCAGAAGAGCGCACAAGUUUUGCAAUGAUCAUUUCGUUAAAGGUUUGUUUGAUAUACUUUUAAAGUUGAGUAUUUCCGAAUUUAAGUAUUAUUUUGAUAUUAUUUGUAUUUUGUCUUGUUAUGGAGUUCUUAAAACGCAUUUUUGCUCCAACUGUUUUGUAAAGCACCGACUCAAGUGUCAAUAAAAGAAAGCAAAUGUGAGCAAAACCUAAAAGAAUUAAGCUUUUACCAAAGGCAGCAAUAAAAUGAAGCUUUCAGCACAUACAGGAUGUUGACAUCUAUAGUUAUAUUUUGAUAAAGAUGGCAAAAACCACACACUCGUAAACAGCGCAUGCAACAACAACAGACAUGGCUGUCGACGUGAAGUUAAAUCAUGAAAUGCAACCUGACCUGAGCAAAAACGAUAAAUAUUAAUCCGGGAGUCUUGAUACCAAUUUCCUUGACGCAGUCAAACACAAAGAUGUUGUAGACUUCCAUGCUUUUCCAAGUUUUCAUCUGUUUUGGCAUGUAGAAUGAUGUCUGGCACACCAGAUAGUUCGACAUGUCUGGAAACGCGACCAACAGACAAUCCUUGAGAUCACUCGCCAAAUCUUUUUUUGAUAAUGUAAAUGGAUCUGAUUUUUCGCUUGUAUCUGCUUUU